rnacentral:rRNA from 1 species
GAUGAACGCUGGCGGCGUGCCUAAUACAUGCAAGUCGAGCGAACAGACGAGGAUCUUGCUCCUCUGACGUUAGCGGCGGACGGGUGAGUAACACGUGGAUAACCUACCUAUAAGACUGGGAUAACUUCGGGAAGCCGGAGCUAAUACCGGAUAAUAUAUUGAACCGCAUGGUUCAAUAGUGAAAGACGGUUUUGCUGUCACUUAUAGAUGGAUCCGCGCCGCAUUAGCUAGUUGGUAAGGUAACGGCUUACCAAGGCAACGAUGCGUAGCCGACCUGAGAGGGUGAUCGGCCACACUGGAACUGAGACACGGUCCAGACUCCUACGGGAGGCAGCAGUAGGGAAUCUUCCGCAAUGGGCGAAAGCCUGACGGAGCAACGCCGCGUGAGUGAUGAAGGUCUUCGGAUCGUAAAACUCUGUUAUUAGGGAAGAACAAAUGUGUAAGUAACUAUGCACGUCUUGACGGUACCUAAUCAGAAAGCCACGGCUAACUACGUG